rnacentral:rRNA from 1 species
AACGAACGCUGGCGGCAUGCCUAACACAUGCAAGUCGAACGAGACCUUCGGGUCUAGUGGCGCACGGGUGCGUACCGCGUGGGAACCUGCCCUUAGGUUCGGAAUAACUCCCCGAAAGGGGUGCUAAUACCGGUUAAUGUCUUCGGACCAAAGAUUUAUCGCCGUUGGAUGGGCCCGCGUUGGAUUAGCUAGUUGGUAGGGUAAAAGCCUACCAAGGCGACGAUCCAUAGCUGGUCUGAGAGGAUGAUCAGCCACACUGGGACUGAGACACGGCCCAGACUCCUACGGGAGGCAGGAGUAGGAAAUAUUGGACAAUGGGAGAAAGCCUGAUCCAGCCAUGCCGCGUGAGUGAUGAAGGCCGUAGGGUUGUAAAGCUCUUUUACCCGGGAUGAUAAUGACAGUACCGGGAGAAUAAGCUCCGGCUAACUCCGUG